rnacentral:misc_RNA from 1 species
UCUCCGUUGGUGAACCAGCGGAGGGAUCAUUACUGAGUUACCGCUCUACAACCCUUUGUGAACAUACCUAACUGUUGCUUCGGCGGGCAGAGGUCCCUCGCGGAUCUCUCCCGGCAACGCCCUCACGGGCGGAGCGCCCGCCGGAGGAUUCCAAACUCUAUUUUAACGACGUUUCUUCUGAGUGGCACAAGCAAAUAAUUAAAACUUUUAACAACGGAUCUCUUGGCUCUG